UACGUAGGUGACCAGCGUUGUCCGGAUUUACUGGGCGUAAAGAGCGCGCAGGCGGUCGUUCAAGUCGAGUGUGAAAGCCCCCGGCUCAACUGGGGAGGGUCACUCGAUACUGAUCGACUUGAAGGCAGGAGAGGGAAGCGGAAUUCCAGGUGUAGCGGUGAAAUGCGUAGAUAUCUGGAGGAAUACCGGUGGCGAAGGCGGCAUCCUGGACCGACAUUGACGCUGAACGGCGAAAGCUAGGGGAGCAAACGGG
rnacentral:rRNA from 1 species